rnacentral:rRNA from 1 species
UACGGGGGGAGCAAGCGUUGUUCGGAUUUACUGGGCGUAAAGGGCGGGUAGGCGGCCACCGCAAGUCAGUUGUGAAAUCUCCGGGCUUAACCCGGAAAGGUCAACUGAUACUGCGGGGCUAGAGUGCAGAAGGGGCAACUGGAAUUCUCGGUGUAGCGGUGAAAUGCGUAGAUAUCAGGAGGAACACCGGUGGCGAAGGCGGGCCUCUGGGCAACAACUGACGCUGAGGAGCGAAAGCGUGGGGAGCGAACAGG